AUUGAACGCUGGCGGAAUGCUUUACACAUGCAAGUCGAACGGCAGCACGGGGGCAACCCUGGUGGCGAGUGGCGAACGGGUGAGUAAUGUAUCGGAACGUGCCCAGUCGUGGGGGAUAACGUAGUGAAAAUUACGCUAAUACCGCAUACGAUCUAUGGAUGAAAGCGGGGGAUCGCAAGACCUCGCGCGAUUGGAGCGGCCGAUAUCAGAUUAGGUAGUUGGUGGGGUAAAGGCUCACCAAGCCGACGAUCUGUAGCUGGUCUGAGAGGACGAACAGCCACCCUGGGACUGAGACACGGUCCGGACCCAUACGGGAGGCAGAAGUGGGGAAUUUUGGACAAUGGGCGAAAGACUGAUCCAGCCAUUCCGCGUGCAGGAUGAAGGCCUUCGGGUUGUAAACUGCUUUUGUACGGAACGAAACGGCGAGCUCUAAUACAGUUUGCUAAUGACGGUACCGUAAGAAUAAGCACCGGCUAACUACGUGCCAGCCGCCGCCGUAA
rnacentral:rRNA from 1 species